rnacentral:rRNA from 1 species
UGGGGAAUAUUGCACAAUGGGCGCAAGCCUGAUGCAGCCAUGCCGCGUGUAUGAAGAAGGCCUUCGGGUUGUAAAGUACUUUCAGCGAGGAGGAAGGCGUUGUGGUUAAUAACAGCAGCGAUUGACGUUACUCGCAGAAGAAGCACCGGCUAACUCCGUGCCAGCAGCCGCGGUAAUACGGAGGGUGCAAGCGUUAAUCGGAAUUACUGGGCGUAAAGCGCACGCAGGCGGUCUGUCAAGUCGGAUGUGAAAUCCCCGGGCUCAACCUGGGAACUGCAUCCGAAACUGGCAGGCUAGAGUCUUGUAGAGGGGGGUAGAAUUCCAGGUGUAGCGGUGAAAUGCGUAGAGAUCUGGAGGAAUACCGGUGGCGAAGGCGGCCCCCUGGACAAAGACUGACGCUCAGGUGCGAAAGCGUGGGGAGCAAACA